rnacentral:rRNA from 1 species
UUGGAGGGCAAGUCUGGUGCCAGCAGCCGCGGUAAUUCCAGCUCCAAUAGCGUAUAUUAAAGUUGUUGCAGUUAAAAAGCUCGUAGUUGAAUUUCGGGAUCAAUGUUUCGGUCAUGCCGUUGGUAUGUACUGAUAUUAUUGAUUUCUCACCUUCUAAAGAACCGUAAUGCCAUUAAUUUGGUGUCACGGGGAAUUAGGACUGUUACCUUGAAAAAAUUAGAGUGUUUAAAGCAGGCUUACGCUUGAAUACAUUAGCAUGGAAUAAUGAAAUAGGACAUCCGAUUCUAUUUUGUUGGUUUCUAGGAUCGAUGUAAUGAUUAAUAGGGAUAGUUGGGGGCAUUAGUAUUCAAUUGUCAGAGGUGAAAUUCUUGGAUUUAUUGAAGACUAACUACUGCGAAAGCAUUUGCCAAGGAUGUUUUCAUUAAUCAGGAACGAAAGUUAGGGGAUCGAAGACGAUCAGAUACCGUCGUAGUCUUAACCAUAAACUAUGCCGACUAGGGAUCGGAUGAUGUUAAUUUUUUAAUGACUCAUUCGGCMCCUWACGGGAAACCAAAG